CAGUCGCCGCGGUAAUACGUAGGGUGCGAGCGUUAAUCGGAAUUACUGGGCGUAAAGCGUGCGCAGGCGGUUCGUUAAGACAGAUGUGAAAUCCCCGGGCUUAACCUGGGAACUGCAUUUGUGACUGGCGAGCUAGAGUAUGGCAGAGGGGGGUAGAAUUCCACGUGUAGCAGUGAAAUGCGUAGAGAUGUGGGGGAAUACCGAUGGCGAAGGCAGCCCCCUGGGCCAAUACUGACGCUCAUGCACGAAAGCGUGGGGAGCGAACAGGAUUAGAUACCCCGGUAGUCCCUGUCUCUUAUAC
rnacentral:rRNA from 1 species